CCUACGGGAGGCAGCAGUGAGGAAUAUUGGUCAAUGGGCGGAAGCCUGAACCAGCCAAGUAGCGUGAGGGAUGAAGGUACAGAGUAUCGUAAACCUCUUUUGUCAGGGAACAAAGGCGGGGACGUGUCCCCGGAUGAGUGUACCUGAAGAAAAAGCAUCGGCUAACUCCGUGCCAGCAGCCGCGGUAAUACGGAGGAUGCGAGCGUUAUCCGGAUUUAUUGGGUUUAAAGGGUGCGCAGGCGGUCUGUUAAGUCAGCGGUCAAAGCCCGGGGCUCAACCCCGGCCCGCCGUUGAAACUGGCAGUCUCGAGUUGGAGAGAAGUAUGCGGAAUGCGCGGUGUAGCGGUGAAAUGCAUAGAUAUCGCGCAGAACUCCGAUUGCGAAGGCAGCAUGCCGGCUCCACACUGACGCUGAGGCACGAAAGCGUGGGUAUCGAACAGGAUUAGAUACCCCUGUAGUC
rnacentral:rRNA from 1 species